GACGAACGCUGGCGGCGUGCUUAACACAUGCAAGUCGAGCGGUAAGGCCCCUUCGGGGGGUACACGAGCGGCGAACGGGUGAGUAACACGUGGGUGACCUGCCCUCAGCUCUGGGAUAAGCCUGGGAAACUGGGUCUAAUACCGGAUAUGACUCCAUGACGCAUGUCGUGGGGUGGAAAGCCUUGUGCGGCUGGGGAUGGGCCCGCGGCCUAUCAGCUUGUUGGUGGGGUGANGGCCUACCAAGGCGACGACGGGUAGCCGGCCUGAGAGGGCGACCGGCCACACUGGGACUGAGACACGGCCCAGACUCCUACGGGAGGCAGCAGUGGGGAAUCUUGCGCGAUGGGCGAAAGCCUGACGCAGCGACGCCGCGUGAGGGAUGACGGCCU
rnacentral:rRNA from 1 species